rnacentral:rRNA from 1 species
GACGAACGCUGGCGGCGUGCUUAACACAUGCAAGUCGAACGAUGAAACCGGAGCUUGCUCCGGUGGAUUAGUGGCGAACGGGUGAGUAACACGUGAGUAACCUGCCCUUGACUCUGGGAUAACUGCGGGAAACUGUAGCUAAUACCGGAUACGACCCUCGGAGGCAUCUCCUGGGGGUGGAAAGAAUUUCGGUCAAGGAUGGACUCGCGGCCUAUCAGCUAGUUGGUGAGGUAACGGCUCACCAAGGCGACGACGGGUAGCCGGCCUGAGAGGGUGACCGGCCACACUGGGACUGAGACACGGCCCAGACUCCUACGGGAGGCAGCAGUGGGGAAUAUUGCACAAUGGGCGCAAGCCUGAUGCAGCAACGCCGCGUGAGGGAUGACGGCCUUCGGGUUGUAAACCUCUUUUAGCAGGGAAGAAGCGAAAGUGACGGUACCUGCAGAAAAAGCACCGGCUAACUACGUGCCAGCCGCCGCGGUAA